rnacentral:rRNA from 1 species
AUACGGAGGAUCCGAGCGUUAUCCGGAUUUAUUGGGUUUAAAGGGUGCGCAGGCGGGAGAUUAAGUCGGCGGUGAAAUUUUUCAGCUCAACUGUAAAAGUGCCUUCGAUACUGGGUUUCUUGGGUGUGGGUGAAGUAGGCGGAAUUUGUGGGGUAGCGGUGAAAUGCUUAGAUAUCACGAGGAACUCCGAUUGCGCAGGCAGCUUACUAAACCACUACUGACGCUCAGGCACGAAGGCGUGGGGAUCAAACAGGAUUAGAUACCCUGGUAGUCCACGCAGUAAACGAUGAUUACUGGCUGUUUGCGAUACAAUGUAAGCGGCUGAGCGAAAGCGUUAAGUAAUCCACCUGAGGAGUACGUUCGCAAGAAUGAAACUCAAAGGAAUUGGCGGGG